CCUACGGGAGGCAGCAGUGAGGAAUAUUGGUCAAUGGACGCAAGUCUGAACCAGCCAUGCCGCGUGCAGGAAGACGGCUCUAUGAGUUGUAAACUGCUUUUGUACGAGGGUAAACGCAGAUACGCGUAUCUGUCUGAAAGUAUCGUACGAAUAAGGAUCGGCUAACUCCGUGCCAGCAGCCGCGGUAAUACGGAGGAUUCAAGCGUUAUCCGGAUUUAUUGGGUUUAAAGGGUGCGAAGGCGGUCGGAUAAGUUAGAGGUGAAAUCCCGAGGCUCAACUUCGGAAUUGCCUCUGAUACGGUGCGGCUAGAGAGUAGUUGCGGUAGGCGGAAUGUAUGGUGUAGCGGUGAAAUGCUUAGAGAUCAUACAGAACACCGAUGGCGAAGGCAGCUUACCAGGCUACUUCUGACGUUGAGGCACGAAAGCGUGGGGAGCAAACAGGAUUAGAUACCCCGGUAGUC
rnacentral:rRNA from 1 species